rnacentral:rRNA from 1 species
UACGAAGGGGGCUAGCGUUGUUCGGAUUUACUGGGCGUAAAGGGCGCGUAGGCGGCUUUUUAAGUCAGGGGUGAAAUCCCAAGGCUCAACCUUGGAACUGCCUUCGAUACUGGAAAGCUCGAGUCCGGGAGAGGUGAGUGGAACUGCGAGUGUAGAGGUGAAAUUCGUAGAUAUUCGCAAGAACACCAGUGGCGAAGGCGGCUCACUGGCCCGGUACUGACGCUGAGGUGCGAAAGCGUGGGGAGCAAACAGG